CUUUUAUGUUAUCAUUGUAGUUUUAGGUUUUGAUCUUUGGUCUGUAGUUAAUUUUUACAUAGAUGAGAUCUCCACGCGGUUGUUGAGUCGGAUUCCAAGCAUGGUGAGAUCGGUGAUAAUAUACUCGCCUGCUAGAACUGCUACCGAGGAAGGAUCUGGAAAACUUCGUAUCCACCUUAAAACCAAUAGCUUCUGGUAUCAGUAAAAUUAGCCUUUGAUAUGGUUGUAGGUGGGAGAAUCCAUUGAUGGGAUGGACUUCUACAGGUCAAGAAGCCCAAAACACAGUUAUUGAAGGUCUGUAAACUAUCUAUCUCUUUAGUUAAUGCCACUUUUGACUUAACGAGCUCUACUCAUAGGAGGUGUUUAAGCCUACGCUUG